UGUGAGUGAUGACUCUUUACUCCUGACUCCCAUAUGGAGGCAAAAACUGAUUUAAUGAGCCUGACAC